rnacentral:rRNA from 1 species
GACGAACGCUGGCGGCGUGCUUAACACAUGCAAGUCGAACGGAAAGGCCCUGCUUGCAGGGUGCUCGAGUGGCGAACGGGUGAGUAACACGUGGGUGAUCUGCCCCUUAUUUUGGGAUAAGCCUGGGAAACUGGGUCUAAUACUGGAUAGGACCAUGCUGUAGGUGGUGUGGUGGAAAGAUUAGUUUCGGUAAGGGAUGAGCUCGCGGCCUAUCAGCUUGUUGGUGGGGUAAUGGCCUACCAAGGCGUCGACGGGUAGCCGGCCUGAGAGGGUGGACGGCCACAUUGGGACUGAGAUACGGCCCAGACUCCUACGGGAGGCAGCAGUGGGGAAUAUUGGACAAUGGGCGCAAGCCUGAUGCAGCGACGCCGCGUGGGGGAUGACGGCCUUCGGGUUGUAAACUCCUUUCAGCCAUGACGAAGCCCUUGUGGUGACGGUAGUGGUAGAAGAAGCACCGGCUAACUACGUG